rnacentral:rRNA from 1 species
GACGAACGCUGGCGGCGUGCCUAAUACAUGCAAGUAGGACGCAGUUGCGAACGGGGGAGUAACGCGUAGGUAAAUACCUAUUAGAGGGGGAGAACAAAUGGAAACGAUAGCUAAUACCGCAUACUAGUAGAUGGACCGGCGUUGUAUUAGCUAGUAGGUAGGGUAAUGGCCUACCUAGGCAACGAAACAUAGCCGACCUGGGAGGGUGGUCGGCCACACUGGGACUGGGGCCCGGCCCAGACUCCUACGGGAGGCAGCAGUAGGGAAUCUUCGGGAAUUGGGGGAACCCUGUCCAAGCAACGCCGCGUGAGUGAAGGAGGUUUUCGGAUCGUAAAGCUCUGUUUUUAAGGAAGCGGUACUUAACCAGAAAGGGACGGCUAACUACGUGCCAGCAGCCGCGGUAAUUC